UAAGCGGAGGAAAAGAAACUAACAAGGAUUCCCCUAGUAACUGCGAGUGAAGCGGGAAAAGCUCAAAUUUAAAAUCUGGCGGUCUUUGGCCGUCCGAGUUGUAAUUUAGAGAAGCGUCUUCCGCGCUGGACCGUGCACAAGUCUCCUGGAAUGGAGCGUCAUAGAGGGUGAGAAUCCCGUCUUUGGCACGGAUGCCUGGUGCUUCUGUGAUGCGCUCUCGAAGAGUCGAGUUGUUUGGGAAUGCAGCUCAAAAUGGGUGGUGAACUCCAUCUAAAGCUAAAUAUUGGCGAGAGACCGAUAGCGAACAAGUACCGUGAGGGAAAGAUGAAAAGCACUUUGGAAAGAGAGUGAAACAGUACGCGAAAUUGUUGAAAGGGAAACGCUUGAAGUCAGUCGCGUCGACCGAGACUCAGCCUUGCCUUGGCUUGGUGUACUUCUCGGCCCGACGGGUCAGCAUCAAUUUUGCCCCUCGGAUAAUGGCAAGGGAAAGGUGGCACCUUUACGGGUGUGUUAUAGUCUCCUGUCGAAUGCGAGGGGUGGGAUUGAGGAACUCAGCGCGCACCUCAGUGUCGGGGCUUCGGCCCACGUCACGCGCUUAGGAUGCUGGCGUAAUGGCUUUAAACGACC
rnacentral:rRNA from 1 species